CUACAAUGGACGGUACAAUAGGUAGCAAUGGAGCGAUUCGGAGCUAAUCCAAAAAGCCGUUCUCAGUUCGGAUUGCAGGCUGAAACCCGCCUGCAUGAAGUCGGAGUUGCUAGUAACCGCAAGUCAGCAAAUUGCGGUGAAUACGUUCUCGGGCCUU
rnacentral:rRNA from 1 species